ACUGCCCCCAGAGACAUUGCAGGAAUGUCUGCUUUGUCACAUGUGCAUCAAUAUAUUGCAGAGAGGAGAGAUGCUAUGUCUAAGCUUAGUGUUAUGAUCUGUGCACAUCAAAAUGAUUAGAUGCCUAACAUU
ensembl:snoRNA Gm24006 predicted gene, 24006